UUCCUGGAAUGUUCAGCCCGAAGCUUAAGUGGCGAAUCUUGUGGGUCAUGUUGAAUUGAGUUGACAUGUAUGGCUGAACAUCAUGCACUCAUAACAAGAGUCGACAGGAAGCCGGUUUAUUAGCGAAACAACUUGUUACAAGCUGUUCGCGAUAAAAUCGAGAGGCGGUACUCGUGUUAAUUUUGACAAGUGAAACACAUUACCGACGGCACCACUGAAAGUUCGCACGAGAAUAUCCGCUUCUUCGCGCACCUUCGGGUGCACAUCUAAUUGCCGCAAUAUUUGCAUGCUUGAUGGAAAAAA